UUUUUUUUUUUUUGUCUUUCAAAAUAGCUUUUGAAAAGAAAGAAGCCCAAAGAAAAUCAUUAUCUUAGAAAAAAUGGUUCUCUCAAUGUGUCUCUACCUAACUCCAACAUGUCCAUAUUAAAACUGAUGAAUGAAGUCAUCAUAAUAUUGCUUCCAAAUAUCAGUUUAUUUGACAGAUGGCUGUCACAAUUGUUCCACUUUUUUUAUUCAUGUUUUGUAGUCUAAAGUAAGAAUGACUAAUAUUUUAAUUGAAAACAUUUGGCAAAAAGAAAAAUACACAUUGUAUACAUCUUUAUUGUGUCUGUUCAGAUAUUAUUAAAGUCGGUAUUCAUUUGCAAAAAUUAAGUUUCUCAUGCCUGUUCUGAGAAGACUGGAUACAAUUCCACCAAUGCUUAUUGUGUUGACAUUGAUGCCAUCAGUUAUGGAUAUACACACGGAUAUACCAUGUCUUCCUCCCUCAAGAUCUCAUGGUCUGAUUUAGAAACAAGCACAGUUUAAUGUCACUUAAUGUAAUAUAUGCUAAGAGGGGCACCUGCAUAUUCCAAUGCUGAUCAAAAAGCUAAAGAAGUGAUCUCAGAUUGACUGAUUCACUAGCAGGUGGUAAGACGGAUUUGAUGCAGGAGCACAUUUUCUAAAUGACUUUGUGUGCUUCAGGGCAAAGAGAAAACAUGUUGUCCAUGAAAUAGGAGAUAGUUGGGAAAAGGCAGUUUGAUCAUGAAAGGCACAAGAAACAAUAUUGAGGAGAAAAUGAGGAUGGGAAAUAAGUAUAAAAUCCUCCCUAACCCAAUUAAAGUAGAGAGCAGGAGCCUUAGAGAGAUGAGAGCUUGAAAUAGAACACACACAAAGGGGGAAAAUUUGAAUUUGAUCCACAAAUGCAGAACAGUCCUCAAUAGCCCCAAGCCAACUUCUCAAAAUUCUAUAAAAAUAAACCACAAUUAGAGCAAUUUAAAUUAUCACCCAUUUGUUGUUGCAGCCAAUAUUCAGAUACUUAUUAAUAUCAUUCAUUCUUGAAGCAUUUAUUGAGUGCCUACUAUGUUACUAUAUUCCAAUAUCUCAAUGACAGAUCAAGUUUGAAGCCAAGUGAGGUAUGGAUGAUGCAUAUCAAACUUAGAAAUAACAAUAUCUUAAUUUUUCCUAUUUAUUGAGUAUAUUCAAUGUGUAGAGCACUGUAGCAUUGUACAAUAUGGGCAAAUGCUGUCACUCUGCUUAAAAAAAAACAUAUCAAGCUAUAUCUGGUACUCGUUUCAGUUGCCAGUAGUUCUGGAAUAUCACAUCCUGAUGAAAGAUGCUAUUGUAUAAAGUCAAAACUAACUUUUUGAAAAAGGACACAUAGGGAAAAAUACGUCCUAGAGAAAUUCCAAGCCAAAGAGGAAUGCUCAUCUCAAUGAAUUCUAUGGAAAUAAUAUCUGUUGGAAGUGGUUGGCAGCCAAGUGUCCCAGUAACUGUAAUGGUGAUGUAAAGAAGUGUCACAGGAAGAUAUUCCAAGGACAUAUUAAAGUAGAAGUUCAAGGAAAGAAAAAGAGGUACUAUUAGGUCGCAGAAUAAGCCUUGGCACAAAUUAUGUGAGAAAUGCUAUUUGCCACAUAUACUUAAUGUGCAAUUAGAAACCUAAUUUUGCCUCUCUUUACCUCUCAGGACUAUUAUGAGUUUGAUGUGGUACACAGUAGUUAAAGUACCCUAAACAUGUUAAAUACCAGAUAAAUGGAAAGGUUUAUUAUUAAAAAUUAAGCUUAACUGUAUGAGGAAAUGCCACAAGUAGACACACGUGCAGAAGGGUUGUCUUCAAGUAUUAGGCUAUGGGGAAUGAACCAAGGAUGAACUAUCAGUCUUAAUUGUGCCCACACAUAAAGCCAUUGCUACCAGCAGUGCUUUUAUCAAAAAGGAGCAUAAUCAGUCAUUAGCAAACAAUUUCAAAUCACUGCAAAAAAAAUCAUGUGACCUUGCUGAAGAGUCAUUUUGCAACAUCUUUAAAUGUAUUUUUUUCCUGGUGGAUGAUUAAAUAGCCUGUUAAUCUCCUUUUGCUAUGAGUGAUUGAAGGACACUGAGUCAAAAUUACAAUUUAGACAAGAAGAGGAAAUCUGCACUUAUCUUUCAAUAUCAUAUGAUAUGUUAAAUGAUGAUUUACACCCCAGUCCUUCUUGGCAGGAUGUUCUCUUCCUGAAGAUGUCUGUCUGUGGAAAUAACAUAUGCCUUUUUUUCAUGGAGCCAGUAUCAGCUCUCUAUGGGGCAGAAUCUGUAAUUUCCUUUGGAAUGAGAACCCCUCUACUAUCUCUCUCAGCUGGCAACUAAAAAUGUCAGCAAAAUGGUUGCAGAUAGUUGGGAGAUGCUCCUCACAACUAAUGUCUUAAAACUUUAUACUCAUUUAACAAAUAUUCAUUAGAUACUAACCAUUUUUUUGCUAAGUGCUGUAGACUAAACAACACACAAGGAUAAACUUCAAGGAAUUUAUUGGCUGGUAAGGGAGGUAAUUCAUAUAUAUCAGUGUUUUAAGAUAAUAGUUUGUAUUAACCAUCUAUUCUCGCUACCCUUUCCAAUCUUCCUUGAACUCUGAAGUUCCAUCCUGACCCUACACCUCCAAAGUAGCCAAAUAGACUUAAUACACCAAUUCACUUGGAUGAGAUUUUUCUUCGGAGAAAAAAGGAAAGACAACGUGAAACUCUUGGCUCUUAUGUUCAAAUGAUAUGGUCCAUUGAAUUAUUAGACACACACAUACACACAAAUUAAAAAAAAAAGAAACAAAAUCUCUGAUCCAGUUUGUAAUCUCCAAACCAAAACUAGUCAAAGGAUCCUCAGGCUGAAUGAGAGAAUGAGGCCAAGGACCAUGCAAACUGGAAUGGAGUCAUAAAGACAACCCUCUUGGUUCUGCUCCAUGAGCACAGAAAGUAGCUCCAGAUAGCCAGCAGAGUUCUUUGGCUCCUUGAAAACCACAUGCAGAUAAACCUGUAUAAUGCCUGUGACAAAGAGUCAGAUUAUUUUUUCCCUUUGCCAUUUGAUGAAGACGGCCCACAAACUGCAGCGUGUAGCUUUUUAAUGACUCAUAUUGCUCAAAACUUCUCCCCCGCCGCCAUAUCCUUCCCACAUGGAGAAGCCUCCUUUCCAAAACUCAGGACAGAUGAUGGAGUCCUAGACUCCAAGAAAAAUGGCAGUGACCAGAAAAAAAAAUCCCCAUUAAGUAAGGGAUUCUUACUUUUUCUGCUACUCUCUUUGUAUCUGUUCACUUGUGAAGUAAGGAUGAUGAGAUUUAUCAGAGAUAACUCAAGAUCUUCCAGUGAACUGAGGCAGUAGUAAAACCACUGCUCAUUGGACAUAAGGUUUUUCCUAAGUGUAUUCCAUGGAACAUUGAUAUACUAUAAGAAAAUAGGGUCUUUAUUAUUUUAAAAAAUCAUUAACUUCAUAGUUAAAUAAGCUUUCAAACACUUUAUAUUCUAAACACCUCCUUGACUAUCUUAGAGCUCCAAGAAUUAAAUACUAGGGAGAAAUGACAAUUUCCUAAACAUAAAUGAUCCUAGAAUUCUUUUUCAAAAAACACCAGUCUGCCAGUAUACUAAUGAUGCUCUAUGUAAUGCAAUUUACAAAACAUACAUUCAGCAUUAAAUAUAUUGCACAUGUACUGUGAGUUAAAUAUGAAUCUAAAAUAAACUAGAAAGCAACACGAGCCUUAACAGAGAUGUAGAUCAAAUGUUAUGAAGGUUCAAAGGAGAUAACUCAUUUUAGCCAAGGCAGUUGGGGGAAGUUUCAGAGACAUGGCAUUUAGGCUUGGACUUGAAAUCAUCAGGCAGCUUUUAGACAUUUGGAGGUGUAUGGGGCAGGAAGAAGCCAUGCUGGGACAAAGGAAUACCGGGCACAUAGGCACAGCUUUGAGAAAGAGAACCAGUAGGAGGAAGAGUAAGUAGCUUAUCUUAACUGUGAAAUGAGGAAACUCAAACAGAUUUAAGAGUUAUCAAGGUGGAAGAGGCUAGUUGGGACCAAGUAUGGAGAAUCAUGAUUUCUAGAGAAGCAACUUGAUCUUUCCUCCAUAGAAAUAAUAACAAUCCAUUCCAUGUUUAUGAACAAGUUAGCAAUGCUUUUAAAACUUGAACUUCAUUUCAUCAAAUCAGCAAAAUAAUGAUGAAAAUAUUUUGAUAUAGCUUUUAGAGUGAUAUAAAGCCAACUCUCUAAUUAAAAUUGGGAAACAAAAAAAAAA
rnacentral:lncRNA from 1 species